rnacentral:ncRNA from 2 species
CACUCGAAACAGGGGUGCUGCCUGAGGGCGGCUGAGAGUUACCCUUAUUACCCGAACAAGAUAAUACUUGCGUGGGAAGUUUCAGCGUAAUUGCC